AUUGAACGCUGGCGGCAUGCCUUACACAUGCAAGUCGAACGGUAACAGGUUAAGCUGACGAGUGGCGAACGGGUGAGUAAUGUAUCGGAACGUGCCCAGUCGUGGGGGAUAACUGCUCGAAAGAGCAGCUAAUACCGCAUACGACCUGAGGGUGAAAGCGGGGGAUCGCAAGACCUCGCGCGAUUGGAGCGGCCGAUAUCAGAUUAGGUAGUUGGCGAGGUAAAGGCUCACCAAGCCGACGAUCUGUAGCUGGUCUGAGAGGACGACCAGCCACACUGGGACUGAGACACGGCCCAGACUCCUACGGGAGGCAGCAGUGGGGAAUUUUGGACAAUGGGCGCAAGCCUGAUUCAGCCAUGCCGCGUGCGGGAAGAAGGCCUUCGGGUUGUAAACCGCUUUUGUCAGGGAAGAAAAGGUUCUGGCUAAUACCUGGGACUCAUGACGGUACCUGAAGAAUAAGCACCGGCUAACUACGUG
rnacentral:rRNA from 1 species